ACGCUGGCGGCGUGCCUAAUACAUGCAAGUCGAGCGGACAGAUGGGAGCUUGCUCCCUGAUGUUAGCGGCGGACGGGUGAGUAACACGUGGGUAACCUGCCUGUAAGACUGGGAUAACUCCGGGAAACCGGGGCUAAUACCGGAUGGUUGUUUGAACCGCAUGGUUCAAACAUAAAAGGUGGCUUCGGCUACCACUUACAGAUGGACCCGCGGCGCAUUAGCUAGUUGGUGAGGUAAUGGCUCACCAAGGCAACGAUGCGUAGCCGACCUGAGAGGGUGAUCGGCCACACUGGGACUGAGACACGGCCCAGACUCCUACGGGAGGCAGCAGUAGGGAAUCUUCCGCAAUGGACGAAAGUCUGACGGAGCACGCCGCGUGAGUGAUGAAGGUUUUCGGAUCGUAAAGCUCUGUUGUUAGGGAAGAACAAGUACCGUUCGAAUAGGGCGGUACCUUGACGGUACCUAACCAGAAAGCCACGGCUAACUACGUGCCAGCAGCCGCGGUAAUACGUAGGUGGCAAGCGUUGUCCGGAAUUAUUGGGCGUAAAGGGCUCGCAGGCGGUUUCUUAAGUCUGAUGUGAAAGCCCCCGGCUCAACCGGGGAGGGUCAUUGGAAACUGGGGAACUUGAGUGCAGAAGAGGAGAGUGGAAUUCCACGUGUAGCGGUGAAAUGCGUAGAGAUGUGGAGGAACACCAGUGGCGAAGGCGACUCUCUGGUCUGUAACUGACGCUGAGGAGCGAAAGCGUGGGGAGCGAACAGGAUUAGAUACCCUGGUAGUCCACGCCGUAAACGAUGAGUGCUAAGUGUUAGGGGGUUUCCGCCCCUUAGUGCUGCAGCUAACGCAUUAAGCACUCCGCCUGGGGAGUACGGUCGCAACACUGAAACUCAGACGAAUUGACGGGGGCCCGCACAAGCGGUGGAGCAUGUGGUUUACUUCGAAGCAACGCAAAAGAACCUUACCAGGUCUUGACGGGCUCUGACCCUCCUAGAGAUAAGACGUCCCCUUCUGGGGCAGAGCAACAGGGGGUGCAUGGUUGUCGUCAGCUCGUGUCGUGAGAUGUUGGGUUAAGUCCCGCAACGAGCGCAACCCUUGAUCUUAGUUGCCAGCAUUCAGUUGGGCACUCUAAGGUGACUGCCGGUGACAAACCGGAGGAAGGUGGGGAUGACGUCAAAUCAUCAUGCCCCUUAUGACCUGGGCUACACACGUGCUACAAUGGACAGAACAAAGGGCAGCGAAACCGCGAGGUUAAGCCAAUCCCACAAAUCUGUUCUCAGUUCGGAUCGCAGUCUGCAACUCGACUGCGUGAAGCUGGAAUCGCUAGUAAUCGCGGAUCAGCAUGCCGCGGUGAAUACGUUCCCGGGCCUUGUACACACCGCCCGUCACACCACGAGAGUUUGUAACACCCGAAGUCGGUGAGGUAACCUUUUAGGA
rnacentral:rRNA from 1 species